rnacentral:snRNA from 2 species
GCUUGCUUGGGCAACACCAGUAGUAAAAUUGGAAUGAUACAGUGAAGGUUAGCAUAGCCCUUGCACAAAGAUGACAUGCAGAUUCAUGAAACAUUACAUAUUUUA